rnacentral:rRNA from 1 species
CCUACGGGUGGCAGCAGUGGGGAAUAUUGGGCAAUGGAGGAAACCCUGACCCAGCAACGCCGCGUGAAUGAUGAAGGUCUUCGUAUUGUAAAGUUCUUUUCUAAGGGAAGAAGAAAGUGACGGUACCUUAGGAAUAAGCCUCGACUAACUACGUGCCAGCAGCCGCGGUAAUACGUAGGAGGCAAGCGUUAUCCGGAAUGACUGGGCGUAAAGGGUGCGUAGGUGGUUUGACAAGUUUGUAGCGUAAGGCCGAGGCUCAACCUCGGCACUACUACCAAAACUGUUGGACUCGAGUGCAGGAGGGGCAAAUGGAAUUCCUAGUGUAGCGGUGGAAUGCGUAGAUAUUAGGAGGAACACCAGUGGCGAAGGCGAUUUGCUGGACUGUAACUGACACUGAGGCUCGAAAGUGUGGGUAGCAAACAGGAUUAGAUACCCCAGUAGUC